rnacentral:rRNA from 1 species
GUCCACGCCGUAAACGAUGUGUGCUAGACGUUGGGGAGCCUAGCUCUUCGGUGUCGCAGCUAACGCUUUAAGCACACCGCCUGGGGAGUACGGCCGCAAGGUUAAAACUCAAAGGAAUUGACGGGGGCCCGCACAAGCGGUGGAGCAUGUGGUUUAAUUCGACGCAACGCGAAGAACCUUACCAGCCCUUGACAUGUCCCGUACGGUCCGGAGAGAUCCGGUCCAUCAGUUCGGCUGGCGGGAACACAGGUGCUGCAUGGCUGUCGU